CCUACGGGAGGCAGCAGUGAGGAAUAUUGGUCAAUGGACGAGAGUCUGAACCAGCCAAGUAGCGUGAAGGAUGACUGCCCUAUGGGUUGUAAACUUCUUUUAUAUGGGAAUAAAACGUUCCACGUGUGGGAUUUUGUAUGUACCAUAUGAAUAAGGAUCGGCUAACUUCGUGCCAGCAGCCGCGGUAAUACGGAGGAUCCGAGCGUUAUCCGGAUUUAUUGGGUUUAAAGGGAGCGUAGGUUGAUUGUUAAGUUAGUUGUGAAAGUUUGCGGCUCAACCGUAAAAUUGCAGUUGAAACUGGCAGUCUUGAGUACAGUAGAGGUGGGCGGAAGUCGUGGUGUAGCGGUGAAAUGCUUAGAUAUCACGAAGAACUCCGAUUGCGAAGGCAGUUCACUGGACUGCAACUGACACUGAGGCUCGAAAGUGUGGGUAUCAAACAGGAUUAGAUACCCCGGUAGUC
rnacentral:rRNA from 1 species